GCACCUCCGCCGCCUCUUCUGGAGCAUCUGGGAUGCUGAGGACGAGGAUGACAGGCUGAGAGAGGCCCAAGAGCGGCAGUGGGGCUCCGGGGACCACUCACAGCACCCCGCACGGCCCCCCGCACGGCGCCCCGCCAUGCCCCGCCGCUGAGCGGGCGGCCCGACCUCACCUGGCAACAGCACGCAAAUGGGAAAGCGCUGGCGGGGGAGAAAGCUGAGGCACCGCACAGCUCUUCUGCCUCAGCUCUACGGACAUCACCUCCCCGGACUGCGUCAGGAGAAGCCUUAAAAGCAGCUCGAGGUCAUCGCUCCGUGCCCCUCUGCUCAGCCCUCCUGAGACCCAGCGCCCAGGUCUGGGCUCCCCACUACGACAGAGACCUGGGCACACUGGAAAGAGCCCAGUGAACAGCAGCCAAGCUCUUGGGAGGACAGAAGCAUCCCUCCUACCACGAGAGAGCUGGGACUGCUCCUCACGCGCCAGUGCCGAGCACAGGGGCAGCAUCACUUCCCUAGGCCAGCCUUUUGUUCUCUGGGGAUGUGGGUGGGCAUUUGCCAGGACUGAUGCCCAGGGCACUCACCACAACAUUUCCCUUCACAUCCUUCUCAUAUAAGCUAAUAAGUCUAUUUCACCUAGUUUUAAUCUAUUUACACACAGUCAGCUACUCUGUAAGCUUACCACGUGUGCCGUUUGCGUGGCUAAAGUUGUGUACAACACAACUUGUGUCCAGGGGUGGGCUCAGGAAAUUUAAGCGUGUUAAUGGAAGGUGUGGAUUUAAAAGGGACUGCACAAACUGCACUGGAAUCACAGAACCAGGAAGGCUGGAAAAGAUCUCUCAGAUUCCCACCAAGUCCAACCCCAUGGUGCCCACUACCCACAACCCCCACAACCCUCCGGGACACCUCCACGGAUGGUGACUCCCCCACCUCCCUGGGCAGCUGUGCCACCACCUCACGGCUCUUUGGGAGAAGAAUCAGCCCCUGACAGAUCGUCUUGCACGUGCUGUGGAAGGAAAGCAAGCACAACGAAGCGUCAAGUCUCAACAAAUACAUCCAAAACCCCAAAUCUGUAAGAAAAUUGGCCUCUUCGUGCAUUUUGGUGGCGAUGUUGGAACUCCUAAAAAAUGAUGUCAGACUGGCAAACACAUAGUCCAGCGCAUAUAGAAAUUUAAUCUCUUAAAAAAGACCUUUGCCUGGUGGAGAAGGCACCGAACCGGAGCCCAGUCCCAGUGUGUCACAGAGAAACCAAUUAUCCCAGGAACACCAAACCACAGAAAACAGCCAGGGCAGAGCAGGCAGCGUUUGAUCCAGGCAGCUCCACUCAAACCAGGGGAGCCUUGGUGCAAAUUCUCAUGGUCUAAAAUUGAAAUGAAAAAAAAAAAAAAAAGGAGCAACAACAAAACUUAACUGUGAGUUGGUAUCAGCACGCCCAAGUGCUUACAAAGAGCAUGAAUGCUCCCAUGGAGAUUGUUCACAGCCAAAUAAGACAGAGGUCAACCACAUCCCCACCUCACAACCAAACCAGUACAUCUAGUCAACACGCUACUUGAAUUAUUUCACAAAAUAAAUUCAACUGAAAAUGCUCAACAGUGAAUUUGUGAGUUAAUAAAGCAAAACAGCACAGAUCUAUCAACAGCAAGAAGUGAGGAACCACGCCCCUGUGAAACGGUGACUUCGGUAGACAGUAAACGGAGAUAUAAAUCCCAUCCAAAUGUGAACUCACCCAACACUGUGUGCCCCACCUGGACUCUGAAGUUACAAUAGGCUUUGCUUAAAACACAACCACCUCCCUCUGGGAAGUAACUGUCUGGGUAUCCACUCAUACUGCCAUGACUUCACAUAAUUAUCCAGAGCAAUUGCAACAGGAGAGUAAGGAUUUUGUUCCAGUUAAAAUUAAAAAGGGAAAUUCUGGUUUUAGUUAAGAAUUAAUUUAGCUCAACAAUUCACAACUAAAACAUUUCAAUGGAGUUUCUUUUAAAAUAUGAUAAAACCUUAAAAAGUCAGAGGGAAGGAGUUAACCAAAGAGCUCCUGUCCAUGUAUAAAUGGCAGCCUGAGGUCUUCAAUACCUCCAGUUUUAACCUCAGGAUUCAAAAGGGAACAUAGCUCUAAUCCAAACAAGAUGCAGCUAUUACCCAACGUUCUUACUGUUUUCCUCUGGUAACAGCCACCUCAGAGCAUCGCCCUGUUUGCUUCCCACCCCUGCAUGCUGACCAUGCUUGAGGGAGAAGCCUGCAUGGCCCAGAGUCCUCACUGCUGCUCAAAUAAACUACUUCAUUUCAGCAAUCAAACGCUAGCACUGCUGAGAUGACUGGCAGAAGCCAACAGCAGCAGGAUUUCACCUCCUUUGUCCUGGUAGGCGGCUUUCCCCCUGCAAAGCAGGCUGUACUUUUGCUCUGCCCAGGUCCUCACUGGGUGACAGCUACUGGCUGCACUGGCAGGGAAAACUCAGUGCUCUGCAGCAUCAGCAGCCUGCUUCUGUCUGCUCUCACGCUUUUAGACACGUAUUGCCUGAGCAUGUCAUUAAGCAGCAGAUUAACACAUCUGACAGCAUUAGAGCAGAGGGUCACUAUGGCUCCAAAUACGUUUGAAUUCCAACUGUCAAGACAGAAGCAGCUGGGGUUUGGUGGCAGGCUUAUGGCUACAGCCCCACUACAAGCACUCGUGCUGCUUCACUAACACUGCCUACAGCUAAAAGCAAACACACAUUUUGUACAGCAUGCUAUUUAGAGCAGUAAAUGACACGGUGGUGAACAGGUCUGUGCCCAACGUACCCUCGAGCUUACAUCUGUGCCACUGCCAAACAGAAAGAAACUGCAUAUGUAGUCCAGCCUUGGAUUUUUCAGUUAUUUUCUCAGCGUCCCACCUCGUGGCGCCAGUGGGAUUACAACAGGAGAGCCGCUGCCUCCUUCUUCGCCGGCCUCGUGAUGCUCACCUAUGGGGCGAGCACCUUCUUCAGCUUCCGUGCCUGGAAAGGACUCGGCAGCAACGCAGCCACCAGCCAGGCGGCCAGCCAUGCGUGAGGCCGCCAUCAGUGGCGCUGUCCAUGGUGCUGCAGUCACGCCGAUCAGCGCUGUGCUCUCAGGUGACGGCGAGAUGCCGAGGGCCCGCCGAGGCUGAAGCUCCUGGUGGUCCUCACACGGUGCAGAGCAGCCAGCUGCUCACUGGAACACUUGUACCCAGGGGGCUCACCCCAUUGGGUGCACUCCAGUACUAACAUUCACUAAACCAAGCCCACGUGGCUGCCUGUGGUCAUGCACAGAUGCGGUGUAAAUAAUUGCAAUUAACUUCUGUCAGUGGGGGCAGAGCUGGAAGAUGAAGGCUAGGCCAAGAAAGAAGUCUAAACUGUUAUCACACUGAUCUUAACAAUAAAGAAGUCAAAGCACAGUUUUAUGCUUUAAAUAAAUAUCUUCCUAAAUCCAA